UACGUAGGUCCCGAGCGUUGUCCGGAUUUAUUGGGCGUAAAGCGAGCGCAGGUGGUUUAUUAAGUCUGGUGUAAAAGGCAGUGGCUCAACCAUUGUAUGCAUUGGAAACUGGUAGACUUGAGUGCAGGAGAGGAGAGUGGAAUUCCAUGUGUAGCGGUGAAAUGCGUAGAUAUAUGGAGGAACACCGGUGGUGAAAGCGGCUCUCUGGCCUGUAACUGACACUGAGGCUCGAAAGCGUGGGGAGCGAACAGG
rnacentral:rRNA from 1 species